rfam:Brachypodium distachyon strain Bd21 chromosome 5, whole genome shotgun sequence.
UUAGUACUCUCUCCGUCCAACAAAUGAUGUCUCGAUUUUGACUAAAUUUGAAUGCAUCUACACACUAAAUGUCUAGACAUAUCCAAAUUUUGACAAAUUUGAGACAUCUUUUAUUUGACGGAUGGAGUAGAAA